GAGGAGAAUCCCGUCGGCUGCAUUUCGUCUCUUGCUGAUCUGCUGCACUGGAUGUCGUGGAGAAGCAACGUGAUGAGUGACGCCUUGGAGAUUCUCUCUGCUUGAAAGUUGACCAACAGACAUCAUAAGGAGGUGUGUGUGUGCUUGUUUGUCUCUCUGUGUAGCUCUGUGAUAGACUGGUGACCUGUCCAGGGUGUCCCCUGCCUUCAUCAUAAGUCAGCUGGGAUAGACUCCAGCCCCCCCACAACCCUAAUGAGGAUUAAACGGUAUAUAUGAAAUGAAUGGAUGGAUGUGAAACUCAUUUUUUUUUCAGCUCAGUACUAUUCUGUUGUUUUGCAGUUCUCCUCUGCUCUUGUGUUCUUUCAGUACUGUUUGUGUUUCUUCUACUGUGUGGACAAAACAGAUGCAUGGACUGAAGAAGAGACAGGUCAAUGGAAGACAAUGUUAUUUUAUUUAGCUGAGAACUGCUUGCAGCCAUCCAGUGUUUUUUUUAAUAGCGCUAGCAUGGUCUAAUGGUUGUGGCUGGAUUUGGUUUUGUU
ensembl:lncRNA